AACGAACGCUGGCGGCAGGCUUAACACAUGCAAGUCGAACGCCCCGCAAGGGGAGUGGCAGACGGGUGAGUAACGCGUGGGAACGUGCCCUUCGCUUCGGAAUGGCCCCGGGAAACUGGGAGUAAUACCGAAUACGCCGUAUUGGGAAAGAUUUAUCGGCGAAGGAUCGGCCCGCGUUAGAUUAGCUAGUUGGCGGUGUAAUGGACCACCAAGGCUACGAUCUAUAGCUGGUCUGAGAGGAUGAUCAGCCACACUGGGACUGAGACACGGCCCAGACUCCUACGGGAGGAAGCAGUGGGGAAUCUUGGACAAUGGGCGCAAGCCUGAUCCAGCCAUGCCGCGUGAGUGAAGAAGGCCUUAGGGUUGUAAAACUCUUUCGCCGGAGAAGAUAAUGACGGUAUCCGGAGAAGAAGCCCCGGCUAACUUCGUGCCAGCCGCCGCAGUAAGAC
rnacentral:rRNA from 1 species